ACGGCUCAGUAACACGUAGACAACGUACCCUGAGGAGAGGGAUAACCCCGGAAAACUGGGGAUAAUACCUCAUAGACCAGGGAUGCUGGAAUGCUUUCUGGUCCAAAGGUCCGCCGCCUCAGGAUGGGUCUGCGGCCGAUUAGGUUGUUGUUGGGGUAACGGCCCAACAAGCCUUUGAUCGGUACGGGUUGUGGGAGCAAGAGCCCGGAGAUGGAUUCUGAGACACGAAUCCAGGCCCUACGGGGCGCAGCAGGCGCGAAAACUUUACAAUGCGAGAAAUCGUGAUAAGGGAACCCCGAGUGCCCGUAAAUCCGGGCUGUCCGCCAGUGUAAAUAACUGGUGAAGAAAGGGCCGGGCAAGACCGGUGCCAGCCGCCGCGGUAAUACCGGCGGCUCGAGUGGUGGCCGCUAUUACUGGGCUUAAAGCGUUCGUAGCUGGGCUGUUAAGUCCCCUGGGAAAUCCACCGGCUCAACCGAUGGGCGUUCAGGGGAUACUGGCAGCCUAGGGACCGGGAGAGGUGAGGGGUACUCCAGGGGUAGGAGUGAAAUCCUGUAAUCCUUGGGGGACCACCUGUGGCGAAGGCGUCUCACUAGAACGGCUCCGACAGUGAGGAACGAAAGCUGGGGGAGCAAACCGGAUUAGAUACCCGGGUAGUCCCAGCUGUAAACGAUGCGCGUUAGGUGUAUCGGUGACCACGAGUCACCGAGGUGCCGAAGAGAAAUCGUGAAACGUGCCGCCUGGGAAGUACGGUCGCAAGGCUGAAACUUAAAGGAAUUGGCGGGGGAG
rnacentral:rRNA from 1 species